GUAUAAAAGCUGGAGGGUGGGGCGAGGUGCUUCUUCAGUGAGUAGCCAGGGGCAGAGCGAGUGUUGCGUGGCUGCGGUGGGGCGGGGAAGGUAUGUGUGGGGCUGCUAGGGGGUGCGUGUGGAGCCCCUGCGCUACGGCACUUCUUUCCCCCAUUUACACGUUGAUCUUAUUUGAUCGGGCCGGGCUGUUGCCGCCUCCCCAGGCCUGAGAUGAGAAGAACCCUUCUCCCUGCGAAGCCCUCGGGCGCUGUGCAGUGAAGCAGGUUAAGCGAGCGGCCGGGCGGCAGUUUUAAGCCGGAGGUGAUGAAAUGAUCAGAUAGACGAGGCUGGAGGCUGCGGGGGGGGUGCCCUUCCCCCUCCUCCUGGCCAAUGUGUUUCGGAGCGAUUCUGAUCCGG